GGCAAACGCCGACCCCGCCGUCCCGAGGGCUUCCCCCGUCCCGCCGGGACAGGCGCCUUACCUGGUGCUCCUCCAGCUCCUCCACCAGUACCUGGGGACAGAGGGACACACAGACACACACAAAGGACGGUCCGGACUGCAGGAACCGUGCGAUCAGAAAUGCCAAAUCCAGCUGUGGAUGAAACGCCCAGGAAAAGGGGUGGCUCUGUGUCCUGUGUGCUCUGGGCUCUGCCAGCAGAAGCACCAGGGCAACGAUGCCAGUGUCAGGUCCAUCCUCAGCAUCUCUGAAUUCCAGCUUUGUACCCCAAAGUGCCUUCAGCCCCCAAAGUUUUAUAGCAGCAAAAUGAUUAGGGGGUGUAAGUGACCAGCUUCUCCUGACAUGCCUGUGGCUGCUACCAGUGCAGUGAUCCCCUGUGCAAGAAUAUCACCCCGAAAAUACCACCUGAUAUCGCUACUGGGCUAAUUCAGCAACUUCAGGUCACGCUAAACAUUUGUAAA